CCCUCUUAUAAAGAUGUGUAGGUUUCCGUGUCUUUGGACACCUAAGAACUAACUGGAGGCCAAGAAACGUGGACUUGGAGAAACCUGCGGCCAGCUUGCUCCCUGCAGGCUCAAGAACAACCAUCCCACACAG